UUUGUUAUGAAUUUAAUUACCUAUUUUCUGAAAUUUCUAAAGUUGAAAUCUUUUUACCAUUUUGAAGGGAACUCAUAUUGAGAAGCAAUGAAAUAGCAACUGUUGGUGCUAUCUUCAAUUUCAGUGUAUUAAGGUGGGAUGUCAAGGUUUUGGGGCUUAGUUCGGAGUUGGAGAGGAAGGGGAAGGAAAUUGGGCAGCUCACCAAGGAGGUGGUGGACACAGAUGUGGUGGUCCUCGGAAGGCUGCUCCUGCUGGUGGUCCGGCUGCUGUUGCUGUGGUGGCAGCUGAAGCUUUAAGUGGCGACUCCUGUUCAUUGCUGUCUCUGAUCCUGCCGUUGCUGUGACUGCAUUGCGGCUGGCACCCAUGGUUCUGCCUCCCAUUCAUCACAACCAGGUCAGUCACGUAAGCUAUGAAAUUUUUAAUCUAUAUUUGAGUUGGUUUUGUUCCCCCCAUUUUCGCCCUGUAUUCUUUGUUAUUCCAGAAGUUGUUGCAUUGGCCUUUGUUUCUUCUUGAUUUUUUAAAUUUUAAACAUGAUUUUCCAUUUGUUCAAAUUUCUGAUUUUAUAUAUGUGUUGAUAAUUUGUGUUUCAUUAUUUUUGAAUUAGGUUAAGGUCGUGUAUCGUUUAUUUUGAUUUGAGGAAAAGGAUUUGAUUUUGAAAAUUUUCUGUGGUGAUUUGUUGGACUUCUUUGCUUUGAUUUAUGCCUUUGUUUGCUCUAAUUUUGUAUUAUGGUUUGUUUCUUUCUUACAUAUGCAGUGUGCCUUCUCAUACAUUUGCUCUUUCUUUUAAAAAAUUUAGAAACAAUUUCAUUCUUCAAUUAAAAUCUCUAGAAAAGGACAAUCUCAUUUCUAUUCCCAGAAUUGUUAACAGUAAAAGUCCUUUUUUUGGUUCUUUUCAUAUUUUACCAAUCAAUUCUUAUGGUGAUUACUUUUGACAAGGAAAAAAAGUUACUUUUGACAAUAAUGUUUGCUCUUAUUUUGUACGAUGGUUUGUUUAUUUCCUGUUGAUUGUGGGUUGAAGGAUUUUUGACACACUGGUUUUUGCUAAUCAAACUCAUUGACGGUCGGAUUGAUGUUGUACGAAGGAAGAGAAUAAAGUAAUCUUUUCUCGUUGA